rnacentral:lncRNA from 1 species
ACAUAGACACACACUCUACACACACACACAGUCCACGUUUUGAAAGGUUUAAGGGGAAAUUACAAACUUUAAUAGUGAAA